AGCUUGCUGGGUGGAUCAGUGGCGAACGGGUGAGUAACACGUGAGCAAUCUGCCCCUGACUCUGGGAUAAGCGCUGGAAACGGCGUCUAAUACUGGAUACGAACCGUGGAGGCAUCUUCAACGGUUGGAAAGAUUUUUUGGUCAGGGAUGAGCUCGCGGCCUAUCAGCUUGUUGGUGAGGUAAUGGCUCACCAAGGCGUCGACGGGUAGCCGGCCUGAGAGGGUGACCGGCCACACUGGGACUGAGACACGGCCCAGACUCCUACGGGAGGCAGCAGUGGGGAAUAUUGCACAAUGGGCGAAAGCCUGAUGCAGCAACGCCGCGUGAGGGAUGACGGCCUUCGGGUUGUAAACCUCUUUUAGCAGGGAAGAAGCGUGAGUGACGGUACCUGCAGAAAAAGCGCCGGCUAACUACGUGCCAGCAGCCGCGGUAAUACGUAGGGCGCAAGCGUUAUCCGGAAUUAUUGGGCGUAAAGAGCUCGUAGGCGGUUUGUCGCGUCUGCUGUGAAAUCCCGAGGCUCAACCUCGGGUCUGCAGUGGGUACGGGCAGACUAGAGUGCGGUAGGGGAGAUUGGAAUUCCUGGUGUAGCGGUGGAAUGCGCAGAUAUCAGGAGGAACACCGAUGGCGAAGGCAGAUCUCUGGGCCGUAACUGACGCUGAGGAGCGAAAGGGUGGGGAGCAAACAGGCUUAGAUACCCUGGUAGUCCACCCCGUAAACGUUGGGAACUAGUUGUGGGGUCCAUUCCACGGAUUCCGUGACGCAGCUAACGCAUUAAGUUCCCCGCCUGGGGAGUACGGCCGCAAGGCUAAAACUCAAAGGAAUUGACGGGGACCCGCACAAGCGGCGGAGCAUGCGGAUUAAUUCGAUGCAACGCGAAGAACCUUACCAAGGCUUGACAUAUACGAGAACGCUGCAGAAAUGUAGAACUCUUUGGACACUCGUAAACAGGUGGUGCAUGGUUGUCGUCAGCUCGUGUCGUGAGAUGUUGGGUUAAGUCCCGCAACGAGCGCAACCCUCGUUCUAUGUUGCCAGCACGUAAUGGUGGGAACUCAUGGGAUACUGCCGGGGUCAACUCGGAGGAAGGUGGGGAUGACGUCAAAUCAUCAUGCCCCUUAUGUCUUGGGCUUCACGCAUGCUACAAUGGCCGGUACAAAGGGCUGCAAUACCGUAAGGUGGAGCGAAUCCCAAAAAGCCGGUCCCAGUUCGGAUUGAGGUCUGCAACUCGACCUCAUGAAGUCGGAGUCGCUAGUAAUCGCAGAUCAGCAACGCUGCGGUGAAUACGUUCCCGGGUCUUGUACACACCGCCCGUCAAGUCAUGAAAGUCGGUAACACCUGAAGCCGG
rnacentral:rRNA from 1 species